UUUCCGUAGGUGAACCUGCGGCAGGAUCAUUAAUGUGUUUGGGCCUCGCGGCUCCUCAUUCCUACGCUGUGCGUCUUCGGGCUGCACGCUGAGGUAGCAUAUAUCCACCCCUGUGCACACACACGGUGGCGAGCUGUGUGACGGCUCGCCGCUGAUCUUUACACACGUCUAAAGUCAUUGUAUGUUUAUUUGAUAUAAAAACACAACUUUCAGCAACGGAUCUCUUGGCUCUC
rnacentral:misc_RNA from 1 species